rnacentral:rRNA from 1 species
AACCAACAGGGAUUGCCCCAGUAACGGCGAGUGAAGCGGCAACAGCUCAAAUUUGAAAUCUGGCCCCCCCGCGGGCCCGAGUUGUAAUUUGCAGAGGAUGCUUUUGGCGCGGCGCCUUCCGAGUGCCCUGGAACGGGACGCCAUAGAGGGUGAGAGCCCCGUCUGGUCGGACGCCCAGCCUCUGUAAAGCUCCUUCGACGAGUCGAGUAGUUUGGGAAUGCUGCUCUAAACGGGAGGUAUAUGUCUUCUAAAGCUAAAUACUGGCCAGAGACCGAUAGCGCACAAGUAGAGUGAUCGAAAGAUGAAAAGCACUUUGAAAAGAGGGUUAAACAGUACGUGAAAUUGUUGAAAGGGAAGCGCUUGUGACCAGACUCGGGCGCGGCGAAUCACCCGGCGUUCUCGCCGGUGCACUUCGACGCGCCCGGGCCAGCAUCAGCUCGCCGCGGGGGACAAAGGCGCCGGGAACGUGGCUCCCCAGGGAGUGUUAUAGCCCGGCGCGCAACGCCCCGCGGCGGACUGAGGUUCGCGCGUCCGCAAGGAUGCUGGCGUAAUGGUCACCAGUGACCCGUCUUGAAACACGGACCAAGGAGUCGUCCUCGUAUGCGAGUGUUCGGGUGUCAAACCCCUACGCGCAAUGAAAGUGAACGCGGGUGAGAGCCUCGCGGCGCAUCAUCGACCGAUCCUGAUGUUCUCGGAUGGAUUUGAGUAGGAGCAUACGGGGCCGGACCCGAAAGAAGGUGAACUAUGCCUGUGUAGGGUGAAGCCAGAGGAAACUCUGGUGGAGGCUCGCAGCGGUUCUGACGUGCAAAUCGAUCGUCAAACAUGGGCAUGGGGGCGAAAGACUAAUCGAAC